rnacentral:rRNA from 1 species
GACGAACGCUGGCGGCGUGCUUAACACAUGCAAGUCGAACGAUGAAGCCGGAGCUUGCUCUGGCGAAUUAGUGGCGAACGGGUGAGUAACACGUGAGUAACCUGCCCUUGACUCUGGGAUAACUGCGGGAAACUGUAGCUAAUACCGGAUACGACCCUCGGAGGCAUCUCCUGGGGGUGGAAAGAAUUUCGGUCAAGGAUGGACUCGCGGCCUAUCAGCUAGGUGGUGAGGUAAAGGCUCACCAAGGCGACGACGGGUAGCCGGCCUGAGAGGGUGACCGGCCACACUGGGACUGAGACACGGCCCAGACUCCUACGGGAGGCAGCAGUGGGGAAUAUUGCACAAUGGGCGCAAGCCUGAUGCAGCAACGCCGCGUGAGGGAUGACGGCCUUCGGGUUGUAAACCUCUUUUAGCAGGGAAGAAGCGAAAGUGACGGUACCUGCAGAAAAAGCACCGGCUAACUACGUGCCAGUCGCCGCCGUAA